UAAGUCGACCGCCUGGGGAGUACGGCCGCAAGGUUAAAACUCAAAUGAAUUGACGGGGGCCCGCACAAGCGGUGGAGCAUGUGGUUUAAUUCGAUGCAACGCGAAGAACCUUACCUGGUCUUGACAUCCACGGAAGUUUUCAGAGAUGAGAAUGUGCCUUCGGGAACCGUGAGACAGGUGCUGCAUGGCUGUCGUCAGCUCGUGUUGUGAAAUGUUGGGUUAAGUCCCGCAACGAGCGCAACCCUUAUCCUUUGUUGCCAGCGGUCCGGCCGGGAACUCAAAGGAGACUGCCAGUGAUAAACUGGAGGAAGGUGGGGAUGACGUCAAGUCAUCAUGGCCCUUACGACCAGGGCUACACACGUGCUACAAUGGCGCAUACAAAGAGAAGCGACCUCGCGAGAGCAAGCGGACCUCAUAAAGUGCGUCGUAGUCCGGAUUGGAGUCUGCAACUCGACUCCAUGAAGUCGGAAUCGCUAGUAAUCGUGGAUCAGAAUGCCACGGUGAAUACGUUCCCGGGCCUUGUACACACCGCCCGUCACACCAUGGGAGUGGGUUGCAAAAGAAGUAGGUAGCUUAACCUUCGGGAGGGCGCUUACCACUUUGUGAUUCAUGACUGGGGUGAAGUCGUAACAAGGUAACCGUAGGGGAACCUGCGGUUGGAUCACCUCCUUACCUUAAAGAAGC
rnacentral:rRNA from 5 species